rnacentral:lncRNA from 1 species
UUUCUGUAGAGCCUGACAUUUCAAGGGCCCUGGGGGAAAAUAUUGACUGGUUUGGGAAGGGACUCAGAAUUGCACCUACAAAGAAUUAUUAAUGGCACUGGCAUCCCUAACUACUGGGAAGAGAAAGGGGUUUCAAGGGUUGUUGGAGUUUUAAAGAAGACUGUGGAUAGAAACUGUCCAGCUCAGUGUCUAUGCCUCCAGCAGCUUCUCAGGAACUUCUCCUGCCACUAUUCACCAUUUCAUGACCUUCUUCUGCAGACCUCUCUUCCCCCUCACAGACAGGCUGCAGCCUGGAGCCAGGACACACUAGCAACCUGAGGGCAUCCACGCGAGGCUCUGGGCUGCAGGUGUGGAGACCCAGGGACCACUCAGCAUUUUCAACUCGUCAUAUGUCAUUUGGGAGGGUCGCCGCCCCUCUCAUGGCCUCAUUUUAUUGCCAAUAAAACACUAAAGAAGAG